rnacentral:rRNA from 1 species
CAAUAGCGUAUAUUAAAGUUGUUGCAGUUAAAAAGCUCGUAGUUGGAUUUCUGGAUUGGCAUGGGUGGUCCACCUCUGGUGAGCACUACUCGGCCGAUCCUUCCUCUCGAAGACUGCGUGUGCCCUUAACUGGGUGUGCGCAGGAGUCGGGACCUUUACUUUGAAAAAAUUAGAGUGUUCAAAGCAGGCUUCCGCUUGAAUACAUUAGCAUGGAAUAAUGGAAUAGGACUCUGGUUCUAUUUUGUUGGUUUCUAGGACCGGAGUAAUGAUUAAUAGGGAUAGUUGGGGGCAUUAGUAUUUAAUUGUCAGAGGUGAAAUUCUUAGAUUUAUGAAAGACUAACUUCUGCGAAAGCAUUUGCCAAGGAUGUUUUCAUUAA